CUUGAACUUCGGUUUGGGUGGCGGACGGGUGAGUAACGCGUAAAGAACUUGCCUCACAGUUAGGGACAACAUUUGGAAACGAAUGCUAAUACCUGAUAUUAUGAUUUUAGGGCAUCCUAAGAUUAUGAAAGCUAUAUGUGCUGUGAGAGAGCUUUGCGUCCCAUUAGCUAGUUGGAGAGGUAACGGCUCACCAAGGCGAUGAUGGGUAGCCGGCCUGAGAGGGUGAACGGCCACAAGGGGACUGAGACACGGCCCUUACUCCUACGGGAGGCAGCAGUGGGGAAUAUUGGACAAUGGACCAAAAGUCUGAUCCAGCAAUUCUGUGUGCACGAUGACGUUUUUCGGAAUGUAAAGUGCUUUCAGUUGGGAAGAAAAAAAUGACGGUACCAACAGAAGAAGUGACGGCUAAAUACGUGCCAGCAGCCGCGGUAAUACGUAUGUCACAAGCGUUAUCCGGAUUUAUUGGGCGUAAAGCGCGUCUAGGUGGUUAUGUAAGUCUGAUGUGAAAAUGCAGGGCUCAACUCUGUAUUGCGUUGGAAACUGCAUGACUAGAGUACUGGAGAGGUAAGCGGAACUACAAGUGUAGAGGUGAAAUUCGUAGAUAUUUGUAGGAAUGCCGAUGGGGAAGCCAGCUUACUGGACAGAUACUGACGCUAAAGCGCGAAAGCGUGGGUAGCAAACAGGAUUAGAUAACCUGGUAGUCCACGCCGUAAACGAUGAUUACUAGGUGUUGGGGGUCGAACCUCAGCGCCCAAGCUAACGCGAUAGGUAAUC
rnacentral:rRNA from 1 species